rnacentral:snRNA from 11 species
AUUCUUAGCCAGCACUGGAGAUAACAUUAUCAUGAAAGUGGUGAUCACAANAAGAGGCGUACCUAUUGCACUCCAGCUGUGAUGACCCUGCAGUUUCCACAAAUGCUGGAAACUCGACUGUAUAAUCUGUGGUAGUGGGAGACUGUCAUAUUCAUGUUCUUCCCU